rnacentral:misc_RNA from 1 species
UCCGGUUUGUCACCGGCAGUCUCAUUAGAGUGCCCAACUAAAUGUAGCAACUAAUGACAAGGGUUGCGCUCGUUGCGGGACUUAACCCAACAUCUCACGACACGAGCUGACGACAGCCAUGCAGCACCUGUCUCUGCGUCCCUUGCGGGAAAACUCCUAUUAGGGAGCGGUCGCAGGAUGUCAAACCCUGGUAAGGUUCUGCGCGUUGCGUCGAAUUAAACCACAUGCUCCACCGCUUGUGCGGGUCCCCGUCAAUUCCUUUGAGUUUUAAUCUUGCGACCGUACUCCCCAGGCGGAGUGCUUAAUGCGUUAGCUGCGCCACCGACCGGCAUGCCGGCCGACAACUAGCACUCAUCGUUUACAGCGUGGACUAC